rnacentral:lncRNA from 1 species
CACACUUAAUAAUUUGUUAAAAAGCUAAAUAAGCUGCAAUCUGAACUUUCCUUAUCUUCCUCUCUGUGUUCAUGUUUGGGUAUGGAACAUCCAUGGAAGAAUCACUGCACCAUAAACACACCGUACUGCAGGACUAUGCCAUCUUCAUUCCAAUCCUUUUUGCAUCCUCAAUUAUUGCUUACCCUCCAAACUUGCAACCAUGGUGGGGUAACCCAAAUAACUGCCUCCUUUUCUGUUUCCACUUUCUUCUUUUAUACUCAUUUUUAAUAAUAUCGCAUUUAUAGGAACAUAUCUAU